GACGAACGCUGGCGGCGUGCCUAAUACAUGCAAGUCGAGCGAAGCGGCGGAUGGGUGAGUAACGCGUGGGUAACCUGCAAUUAAGUCUGGGAUACCAUUUGGAAACAGAUGCUAAUACCGGAUACUAAAGGAUGGACCUGCGAUGCAUUAGCUAGUUGGUAAGGUAACGGCUUACCAAGGCGAUGAUGCAUAGCCGGGUGGAGAGACUGAUCUGCCACAUUGGGACUGAGACACGGCCCAAACUCCUACGGGAGGCAGCAGUUGGGAAUCUUCCACAAUGGGCGAAAGUCUGAUGCAGCCACGCCGCGUGAGUGAAGAAGGUUUUCGGAUCGUAAAGCACUUUUGUUGGUGAAGCGGUAAUCAACCAGAAAGUCACGGCUAACUACGUGCCAGCCGCCGCGGUAAUAC
rnacentral:rRNA from 1 species